GCUUUCGUGGUGUAAUGGCCAGCACACUCGGUGCGUAUUCGAGAGGUCCGUGGUUCGAGUCCCGGCGAGAACA
rfam:Stegodyphus mimosarum contig117433, whole genome shotgun sequence.